GAUGAACGCUAGCUACAGGCUUAACACAUGCAAGUCGAGGGACCGGCGCACGGGUGAGUAACACGUAUCCAACCUGCCCUUUACUCGGGGAUAGCCUUUCGCAAGAACGAUUAAUACCCGAUAUAAAGGAUGGGGAUGCGUUGCCUUAGGUUGUUGGUGAGGUAACGGCCCAUCAAGACUUCUAUGGAUAGGGGUUCUGAGAGGAAGGUCCCCCACAUUGGAACUGAGACCCGGUCCACACUCCUACGGGAGGCAGCAGUGAGGAAUAUUGGUCAAUGGGCGUUAGCCUGAACCAGCCAAGUAGCGUGAAGGAUGAAGGGUUAUGGGUGGUAAACUUCUUAUGAAUAAGAAUAGGUAUUAUAUGAAUAAGGAUCGGCUAACUCCGUGCCAGCAGCCGCGGUAAUUC
rnacentral:rRNA from 1 species